AGUAAAAGCAGUCAGGGUGGAGGUUUUCCCAAUGAGGGUGCUGCUGGGAAUUCAUUUGGUGUUGAGGAUGCAGAUAGUAGUAAACGAAUUGUAAAUGUGUUGGUUGUAUCGUCAACCCCAUCAGAUAUGCCAAAUGAAUGUCGACACAGUAAAGCUUGUGAUUGCUCAUCUCAUAAACAUUUUAAAAGGAAGCUUUUAAAUUUUAGGAUUCCAAAUAUGCAUUUUGGCUCAAAAUUAUUCAGAGCAUCUUUAGGCAUUCGGAAAAAGAAGAAACAUAGAAAGUGCAAGCACCGCUCAUCACGGACCCAGAAUGUCAUUGAAGGACAAUUGCUGGAGAGUAAUUGUUUAUCAUCAGAUGUUGGGCCAUCUACGUCAAAGAUAUCCUUGUCACUUUCAUCGGGCUCAACAAAAUCUCAAAGGAAGAGGGCUAAAUCUCGUUCAAAGUGUAGAGGCGAUACCCUGAUGGAUGCUGUGGAUGAAGGAUUUGAGAAUAGGAACAAUCAGAACAGUGUUCUGGUUGCGAUGGAUAAACAGUUAAAAAAGAGCUCAUUAUCAAUAUCUGAAGUGAACCAACAGGUUGCAAGUGUUCUUGAUUGUACAGAAAUUAGCAAAAAAGAUGUGUCAGAAAAUGCGGUGAUGUGCAUGCUUACUCGAGGUCUAGAAGAGACAUCUGUUGCACAUUGGGAUGGGAUAGAGGUGCCUCAGUCCCAGAUUGUGGAAUCAAGUACUACGGAAAAUCUCUGCAUUGGUUAUGUGCCAGAUGUGUGGGAUGAAGAAUAUGAUCGAGGUAAGAGAAAGAAGUUAAGGCAAACUAAGCACAACUUUGGUGGGCCAAAUCCUUUCCAAGAAAUUG
rnacentral:misc_RNA from 1 species